GUAAAAAGGACGUGUUUUUUAUGGACGAUGCAGCAUACUGCUUUGUUGACAAAAUGACCGAGCAGCGCAGAUUACGGUUCGAUUUGAGAUGGGCGCGCCUCCCUCCCCGAUUCGCCCGAUCGUAACAGGCCAACGCCGAUGCCCAGCGGCUCAGCAUAAUCGAAUUCUUUCAGUGUAACUAACGCUAGUUCCAAAGACUAAAAUAAGAUAAAUAUCUCGUUUCGAGUGCACUUGAAAAAUGUAGCAUGCAAUAUGAAUGGUCUUGAUCGUAUGCAGAGGCUACGUAGACAGGCUCCUUGAUCACCUCUUCAACGAGGUCACCCUUGAUCCAACGUCGUAUGUGGGGAAGCUGUGCGAGCUGACCAUCCCAGGACCCCUGUCUGCUCAGUGUGAGAGGCCUUACAAGAAGGAUGCCACAUCUGGAUUUGUUUCCCGCGUCAAUCUUGAGGGUGACUGAAACCAAGUGGACGACUGAAUCCUGCUUGAUUGAAGCGGGGUACAUGGGUCCCCCUCCUCUCCUGCUCCCCUCCCCAUCAAUCUCUGUAGAUGGUUGCAUUCCCUAAAGCCUAAGUAAUUCACUUUUACGUGAUAUGACAUCACAGUUUGUUACUUUGUAUUGUUAUUCAUCUAGCAUUCCGAUGGGAGAUGAGUGUUACAAAUUGUACAAAUCAAUGGGUCCUGCACACUGUAGGAUGGCCAGGUGCCUAUAUUAUGCUUAUGGCUCUAAUUCUUAAAAAAUCAAAUCACCACAGAAGGUUGGUGGCACCUUAAUUGGGGGGGACAGGCUCGUGGUAAUUGUUGGAGAGGAAUAAGUGGAAUAGUAUAAAAUACAUCCAACACAUGGUUUCCAUGUGUUUGAUACCAUUCCAUUCGUUCCAUUCCAGCCAUUAUUAUGAGCUGUCCUCAGCAGCCUCCUGUGUGUCUCACCAUUAUUUCUCAUGAGUGUUCAUGUUGAUCAAUAUUUUGGCUUUGCUGGUGUAUUGUAAAUUAUAAAAUAAAUGUCUGAUCAAUACAUACAGUA